UACAGACUCCAAAUGAGAGAGACCUAAGUCGAAUCAGAGACUGAAGCUAAGAACCUAAAGCCGAAGUCAAGGACGAGAGGCCUCUAGAGAGAGAGACGAACCACAAAGACGAAGCGACAAAGAAAACAAACUAGAUCCAAUCUCAGAUGGAUUGUGAAUCGAAGAUGACGAGCUGCGAUUCGAAGCAGAUAGGUCACGAUUGAGAGAGAAAUCCUAGGAGGCAUGGAACAACAACUGAAAUAGAGAUGGCUCAUGAUCCCGACACUGGGUAGAUCGCGAUUCCGACGAGACCAGAUGCUGAUUGCGAGUCUGGUACAAUCGCGACUCCAGAGAACCACAAACGAGAAGUCUAUAAAUUAAAAAAGAAAGAGCAUCGAAACAGAGAAAACUUCGAAACUUUGAACCAGAGACGACUUCGAAUGAUUAAAGGCAGAGCUAGGGUUUCACACACGGCUCUGAUACCAUAUUCAGGGAGAGAAAGAAAAA